GGGGACAUAGCUCAGCUGGGAGAGCGUCUGCUUUGCAAGCAGAAGGCCAGGGGUUCGAAUCCCCUUGUCUCCA
rfam:Mesotoga prima MesG1.Ag.4.2, complete genome.